CACACACACACACACACACACGAGUCUAACUGUGUCACAGCAACUCCUCCUCCCUUUCCUUUUCUCUCUCCCUGUUCUCCCCCUCCCCUUCUUUUUCCUACCCUCCCUUCCUCUCCCCCUUUCCUCGAACGGGGCUGUCGUUCCUAUUUACAGGCACAAGGCGAGCUCCCAGGAGAGGAUUUUUUUUUUUUUUUGAGAGAGCUUAAGGAUGGAUGCAACGUGUCAUUAAACCUGAAAGGAGCAGUUACUUAUCAGUAAUAGUGUUUUCCACAGGCCUUUCUCCUCACCUAUAUAGGAUCAGAGCAGAGUAGACUGAUUCGCCUUCCAGAAGCUGAACCGACUGCACCUCAUCACAGCUUAGAGGCUGAGUUUCUUCCAGGGUCCCAGAAAUGCUUGUGGAUUCAUCUUUGGAAAGGGCUGCCGUUCUGUUCAGAAACUGGCUUAUCAUGGACUCCAGAAGCACAGUAUACAGAAGCAGCUUUGAGAGACAGAGGCCUUCGAACCAGGCCUAUACAGGCAGGAAUGGUGAAGAGACAUGUUCUGAUUGUUCAGGGAUUCACUGGUGGAGACUGAUAACUCUGGGAUUUAUGCUAAUUAAUGCUAAUAAAAAGAUCUAAAACGA